CCUACGGGAGGCUGCAGUGGGGAAUAUUGGACAAUGGGGGCAACCCUGAUCCAGCCAUGCCGCGUGUGUGAAGAAGGCCCUCGGGUUGUAAAGCACUUUCAGUGAGGAAGAACGCCUGGUGGUUAAUACCCAUCAGGAAAGACAUCACUCACAGAAGAAGCACCGGCUAACUCCGUGCCAGCAGCCGCGGUAAUACGGAGGGUGCGAGCGUUAAUCGGAAUUACUGGGCGUAAAGCGCGCGUAGGUGGCUUGAUAAGCCGGUUGUGAAAGCCCCGGGCUCAACCUGGGAACGGCAUCCGGAACUGUCAAGCUAGAGUGCAGGAGAGGAAGGUAGAAUUCCCGGUGUAGUGGUGAAAUGCGUAGAGAUCGGGAGGAAUACCAGUGGCGAAGGCGGCCUUCUGGACUGACACUGACACUAAGGUGCGAAAGCGUGGGUAGCAAACAGGAUUAGAUACCCGAGUAGUC
rnacentral:rRNA from 1 species